rnacentral:lncRNA from 1 species
CCGCACAAAGGUAUUAUAUUUUGAACAUAUUAUAGUAAAGUAUUUACUGUUCGAAUUUGAAUUUUAAAUUUAAAUGAAUGCAUGCUAUAUAUCAUAUUUAGAUCCUAGUGUAGGAUAAAUUCAUGUUAAUUAAUUGGAUUAAUUAAUAAUUUUUACUAUAAAAUAAUGAUUUUAAAAAAAUUUUAAAAUUACCAUUUUACCCCUGCACUGAAUUUCUCCACACGAUUGACUUUAGUCCAAGUGGAAGUUGUUGAAAAAUAUGUCCCAAAGCCAAUC